UUUAUUUUAUUCUCAGAACUGAGUGGAAAUAAGACAUAUAGGAGACCAACAAAAGGGAUCAAGAUGUCAGAUUUGAUAAGCAAUUGAUAAAGAGAUUUAGAAGUGUGGCUUUAGACCUGUGGCUCAAAUAGUGGUUUGAAAGCAGAAUCAAGGAUUAAUCAAAGUGACUUCAUCAUCUCCGUAUCAGAGACCGUUUAUAAUACUGUCCAAAGGUGCUGAAUGCUUGUUAUAUGGAGGCAGAUAAUUUGAUGGAGCUACAUCUAACUUGACGUAGAGACCACAGUGUGUCACCAGAGAUUCUGGCCUCCUGAGCUGGAUGCAGAAACUGAGAGAACUUGGAGUUGACUCCCAUGGGGAGUGGGGCAACCCCUUUGGGUCUUGUUCCACGCUGUGGAAGGUUUGUUCUUCGCAAUAAAUUUUGCUGCUGCUCACUCUUUGGGUCUGCACUGCAUUUAUGAUGUGUAACACUCACUGUGAAGGUCUGCAGCUUCACUUCUGAGGCCAGCGAGACCAGAAACCCACUGGGAGGAAUGAGCAACUUUGGAUGGGAGGAACGAACAACUGCAGAUGUGCCGCCCUCAGAGCUGUAGCACAGUGAACGUCUGCGGCUUCGCUCCUGAAGCCAGCGAGAUCACGAACCCACCAGAAGACAAAAUCUCUGAACACGUCCGAACAUUAGAAGGAAUGGACUCCGGACACGCCUUUUUUUUUUUUUUUUGAGACAGUGUUUUUCUCUGUCGCCCAGGCUGGAGUGUAGUGCAAUCUCGACUCACUGCAAGCUCUGCCUCUCGGGUUCAUGCCAUUCUCCUGCCUCAGCCUCCAGAGCAGCUGGGACUACAGGCGCCCGCUGCCACGCCCGGCUGAAUUUUUUUGUAUUUUUAGUGGAGACGGGGUCUCACGGUGUUAGCCAGGAUGGUCUCGAUCUUCUCAUCUGCCCGCCUGGGCCUCCCAAAGUGCGGGGAUUACAGGCGUGAACCACCGUGCCCAGCCACUCUUUAAGAACUGUAGCAGUCACCGCGAGGGUCCGCGGCUUCAUUCUGGAAGCCAUUGAGACUGAGAACCCGCCAAUUCCGGACACAAUUUCAUAGUACAUCAGUAUGGUCCAAUACAGGUAGGUGGUGGGUACCUCCUCAGGAAACUCUGAAAAAGAAGAAGUAGAAAUAGUAUGAGACAAGAAACAGUCAUAUUCCAAAGAAUGAAAUACUGUUACAAAUGAUGGAUCCAGAAAAUCUUAUCUGGCAACUUGCUGUUAUUUUCAGUAAGCCUGAUGAUGAAGAAGAAAGGAAAG
rnacentral:lncRNA from 1 species